rnacentral:rRNA from 1 species
UUGUAGCAUACAAGGCAUACGGCUCAGUAACGCGUAGUCAACCUAACCUAUGGACGGGAAUAACCUCGGGAAACUGAGAAUAAUGCCCGAUAGAACACUAUACCUGGAAUGGUUUGUGUUCCAAAUGAUUUAUCGCCAUAGGAUGGGACUGCGGCCUAUCAGUUUGUUGGUGAGGUAAUGGCCCACCAAGACUAUUACAGGUACGGGCUCUGAGAGGAGUAGCCCGGAGAUGGGUACUGAGACACGGACCCAGGCCCUAUGGGGCGCAGCAGGCGAGAAAACUUUGCAAUGUGCGAAAGCACGACAAGGUUAAUCCGAGUGAUUUGUGCUAAACGAAUCUUUUGUUAGUCCUAGAAACACUAACGAAUAAGGGGUGGGCAAGUUCUGGUGUCAGCCGCCGCGGUAAAACCAGCACCUCAAGUGGUCAGGAUGAUUAUUGGGCCUAAAGCAUCCGUAGCCGGCUCUGUAAGUUUUCGGUUAAAUCUGUACGCUUAACGUACAGGCUGCCGGGAAUACUGCAGAGCUAGGGAGUGGGAGAGGUAGACGGUACUCGGUAGGAAGUGGUAAAAUGCUUUGAUCUAUCGAUGACCACCUGUGGCGAAGGCGGUCUACCAGAACACGUCCGACGGUGAGGGAUGAAGCUGGGGGGAGCAACCGGAUUAGAUACCCGGUAGUCCCAGCUGUAAACUAUGCCAAGCUCAGUUGAUGCAAUUGGCUUGUGUCCAAUGCAGUUGCCUUG